rnacentral:misc_RNA from 1 species
GAAAUGCGAUAAGUAAUGUGAAUUGCAGAAUUCAGUGAAUCAUCGAAUCUUUGAACGCACCUUGCGCUCUUUGGUAUUCCUUGGAGCAUGCCUGUUUGAGUAUCAUGAAAUCUUCAAAGUAAAUCUUUUGUUAACUCAAUUGGUUUCUACUUUGGUAUUGGAGGUCUUUGCAGCUUCACACCUGCUCCUCUUUGUUCAUUAGCUGGAUCUCAGUGUUAUGCUUGGUUCCACUCGGCGUGAUAAGUUAUCUAUCGCUGAGGACACUGUAAAAGGUGGCCAAGGUAAAUGCAGAUGAACCGCUUCUAAUAGUCCAUUGACUUGGACAAUACUUUUAUGAUCUGAUCUCAAAUCAGGUAGAACUACCCGCUGAACUUAAGC